rnacentral:rRNA from 1 species
GCCUACGGCCAUACCACCCUGAACACGCCCGAUCUCGUCUGAUCUCGGAAGCUAAGCAGGGUCAGGCCUGGUUAGUACUUGGAUGGGAGACCNCCUGGGAAUACCGGGUGCUGUAGGCU